GACGAACGCUGGCGGCGUGCCUAAUACAUGCAAGUCGAACGAGAGCGACCGGUGCUUGCACUGGUCAAUCUAGUGGCGAACGGGUGAGUAACACGUGGGUAACCUGCCCAUCAGAGGGGGAUAACAUCCGGAAACGGAUGCUAAAACCGCAUAGGUCUUCGAGCCGCAUGGCUUGAAGAGGUAAAGAGGCGCAAGCUUCUGCUGAUGGAUGGACCCGCGGUGCAUUAGCUAGUUGGUGAGGUAACGGCUCACCAAGGCCGUGAUGCAUAGCCGACCUGAGAGGGUGAUCGGCCACAUUGGGACUGAGACACGGCCCAAACUCCUACGGGAGGCAGCAGUAGGGAAUCUUCCGCAAUGGACGCAAGUCUGACGGAGCAACGCCGCGUGAGUGAAGAAGGUUUUCGGAUCGUAAAACUCUGUUGUUAGAGAAGAACAAGUGCUAGAGUAACUGUUAGCGCCUUGACGGUAUCUAACCAGAAAGCCACGGCUAACUACGUG
rnacentral:rRNA from 1 species